AACAAAUAAUCAGCUUCAGCACACUUACAACACUUUAAUUUUCAUAAUCAUAAAACACCUUUUCAAACAGCUCAAGUCAAAAGUAAACAAACAGUAAAGAAUAAACACCAAAUCACAAUGCGAAUGCAGAGUUCGCAACUGUAACUGUUGAAAGAAACAACUAUCUAAACAGGUCCAAUAAAGAUAUACAGUGAAGCUAUUACACAAAUAGCUGUUAUCCCAGGAACUGUUCCAAGGCCUUCUGUGCUUGUGGAAGCUGAGGUGCUCGUGGGUACAGAACGUCGAGUGUCAGCUCCAGCCAGCGAGCCAGCAUUGUCGGAUUGUCGGUCUCCUCUCCUCGAUUCAAUAAUUUUAUCCCAGAAAUUUGAAUUUUAAAGAGAUAGAUAUUGAUAUUUGGUUUAGGUUUAGGAAAAUCAGGAGGACUUGAUUUGACAAUUAAUUACUUCACAGCAAACGAUCACUGGAGAGAGUCGAGGGAAAAAAUUAAAUAAAAUACAAUUUUGUCAAAAGUUGGACGAUAUUGGAUAGCACCUUUCAAAAAAUGGCUCAUUCCAGUAAUUCUAAUCCAAAAAUUGUAAAGGUUAUGGUAUCACCAGUCAAUGUAAUAUUCAAAUAUUUUCAAAGUCGUGCGCGAGUACAUAUCUGGAUACAAGAAGUGAAGAACAAGCAUUUUGAAGGUAUCAUAGUAGGGUUCGAUGAAUUCAUGAACCUUGUCUUGUAUGAAGCUGAAGAAAUUAACAUUAGGCUUGGGAAUAGGUACAAGAUAGGAAGAAUAUUGCUACGAGGAGAAACCAUUGCCCUAAUCCAUGAUGCUAAAACUGCAAAUGUCUACGAGAAAAAAGUUGAAAAUGUCUACGAGACCACUGUGAAACAGGAGGCCCUUUCGUCCCCUUAACUAGGCCCUAAUGUUAUUUGGCCAGUGCUUAACCUAUUGUGAUUGAUGGCGCUGAAAAGCAGAAUGGCCCACAAAAGGGAAUGUUAGGAACGAGCAUAAACUGCAAAAUAGUUUCAAACGACUUCUUGAAAUGAACAUAAGUUAAGUGCUAGGCCUAGUUUAAUGACUUACCGGUAUAUAGGGCUAUUAUUUUCUCAACUACCUACCUAUUUCUUUUGCCUCGGUGAAGUAAACCGAUUUUGUUAGUGUUUAUUUUAGUUUUCCAUUGACUUUACUAUUAACAAGAUGUUUUUUAUUGUUUAGGUUUAUAUUAAUUUGAUUCUUUGUACUUUGACAUUUUUUAAGUUUAGCCCAACAAUAUGCAAAGACUUAAGUUAACGUUGUAGAAUGUCUUAAGUAUAAUUACUGCUAGACCUAAAAAAAUAUGUAAAAUAAUGGAAUAAACACUUUAUCAAUAUAACAA